AUGUCUGUGGGAGUCCUCCUGAUUAUACCGCACCAUGCAGGAUGUUCCCUGGUCCAGGCAGUGCUGACUCAGCCCCCAUCGGUCUCAGUGGAGCCAAGAAAGAACGUCCAGAUCACCUGCUCCGGGCUUGACAGUAGCAGCAAUGAUGUUGGCUGGUACCAGCAGAAGGUGCCUGGCACUGCCCCUGUCACUGUGAUCUAUUGGAAUGACAAGAGACCCUUGGGCAUCCCUUCACGAUUCUCUGGAUCCAAGUCUGGCACCACGGGCACGUUAACCAUCACUGGGGUCCAAGCUGAGGACGAGGCCGUCUAUUACUGUGGUGCCUGGGACAACAGCAGUGCUGAUCAGCAUCCUGGUGCCCCCAGGGUGGCCAUGGUUGGGUGCUCCUGGUUGACCAUCUGUUGUCUGCCGUGUAUGGGGCAGCAAUCCUAA